AGAGUUUGAUCCUGGCUCAGAACGAACGCUGGCGGCAGGCUUAACACAUGCAAGUUGAACGGGAUUUGUGUGGUGCUUGCACCAUAUAAUGAGAGUAGCGCACUGGUGAGUAACACGUGGGAACGUGCCUUUUAGUGGGGGAUAACAUCUGGAAACGGAUGCUAAUACCGCAUACGCCCUGAGGGGGAAAGAUUUAUUGCUAAGAGGUCGGCCCGCGGUAGAUUAGGCAGUUGGUGGGGUAAAGGCCUACCAAACCUACGAUCUAUAGCUGGUCUGAGAGGACGAUCAGCCACAUUGGAACUGAGACACGGUCCAGACUCCUACGGGAGGCAGCAGUGAGGAAUAUUGGGCAAUGGAGGCAACUCUGACCCAGCCAUGCCGCGUGAGUGAGAAGGUUUUCGAAUUGUAAAGCUCUUUCGGGUGUGAAGAUGAUGACGGUAACACCAGAAGAAGCCCCGGCAAACUUCGUGCCAGCAGCCGCGGUAAUACGAAGGGGGCGAGCGUUGUUCGGAAUUACUGGGCGUAAAGGGUGUGUAGGCGGUUAAGUAAGAUAGUGGUGAAAUGCCGGGGCUCAACCUCGGAAUUGCCAUUAUGACUAUUUAGCUAGAAUGAUGCAGAGGAUAGCGGAAUACCCAGUGUAGAGGUGAAAUUCGUAGAUAUUGGGUAGAACACCAGAGGCGAAGGCGGCUAUCUGGGCAUUGAUUGACGCUGAGGCACGAAAGCAUGGGGAUCAAACAGGAUUAGAUACCCUGGUAGUCCAUGCUGUAAACGAUGAAUGCUAGUUGUUGGAGGAAUUCAGUGACGCAGUUAACACAAUAAGCAUUCCGCCUGGGGAGUACGGUCGCAAGAUUAAAACUCAAAGGAAUUGACGGGGACCCG
rnacentral:rRNA from 2 species